rnacentral:rRNA from 1 species
AACGAACGCUGGCGGCGCGCCUAAUACAUGCAAGUCGAGCGAGAAGACGUAGCAAUACGUUUGUAAGCGGCGAACGGGUGAGGAAUACAUGGGUAACCUACCCUCGAGUGGGGAAUAACUAGCCGAAAGGUUAGCUAAUACCGCGUACGCUCCUUGGACUUCGGUUCAGGGAGGAAAGCGAUACCGUGGUAUCGCGCUCUUGGAUGGGCUCAUGUCCUAUCAGCUUGGGUGA